ACAGCAUGUCUGUUACCUCUUGGCCACUGAUAUUGACUGCAUGAUGGGCUACUGAACAUUUCAUAAUUACCCCUCCAAUACAGCUCCAAGUUUAAUUUAUGUGUCUUCUGCCUGAGAGAGGGGAACAGACCGGCAUUACAGAGGAGUGUAAUUUAUAUUGAUUUACCUUUUGGAUGGAGGGAUGGCUGAGGAAAGAGGGAGAGAUGGGAGGAAGAGAGAGAUGAAGGAUGACAAUUCCCUGAAAUGUUUUCCUGUCUCUGGACCAGACAAACGGUAUUUCUGGAAGUCCCAGGAGGAGUAAAACCCAUGCAUCAGGGAUACUGCUGGAAUGAGAGAUGGGCGUGUGUGAGCGCGAGAGAGUCUGAUGCUGCUGUUCCUGCAGUGGUCCUGUAGUCACCCUCAUUGAGCUGGUGAGGCGGUCGGCUGCUGCUGUUGCUGAUACUGCUGCAGGAGAGGAUUCCUAUCUGAUUAUGGGAUAGUCAGAUAUACUACAGCAGAGAGAGGUGAAGAAAGGCUUAGGUUUCUGCUAAUCUUCCUUGGCCCCGUUGAUACCCGCAUUGUUUUUACGAGGACAGAGGAAAGAGACUCUUCAGGUGUGAAAAGGAACUCUGAGAGAGGAGGCGCGCUUGGCUGGACUGCACUAGGGGGUGAAGGUAGGGGAUCUUUUCUUUGGUGGAGUGGAUGGGGGGAGGCGGCAACAUGACAGUGUGUGUAUUUGUGAAAGUAAUGGGACAGUGUGUUUAAAAUGCAGUAGUUGCUUGUGUUUGUGUACGGCGUUAAGAUUAAAUUUAAGAGAUUGUAUUAAGUCUGAGCUUUGUGGGUACACUCCAGGCACCGUGUCAGGGGUUUUAGCUCAGAGUAGCAGUGUAGAGUUCAGAAUGUGUGUGUGUGUGUGUGUGUGUGUGUGUGUGUGUGUAUGUGUGAAUCAGGUUUCCCUACAUUUAAGUGCACUAAAUGUACUCAUAGAUAGAAAAAACAGAAAUCAACUACAUUAUU